rnacentral:rRNA from 1 species
GACGUAGGAGGCGAGCGUUAUCCGGAUUCACUGGGCGUAAAGCGCAUGUAGGCGGCUGGACAAGUCGUGUGUUAAAGCCCCUGGCUCAACUGGGGGAGGUCAUGCGAGACUGUUCGGCUUGAGGGCAACAGAGGCACGUGGAACUCCCGGUGUAGCGGUGGAAUGCGUAGAGAUCGGGAAGAACACCAGUGGCGAAGGCGACGUGCUGGGUUGCGACUGACGCUGAGAUGCGAAAGUGUGGGGAGCAAACGGG